rnacentral:rRNA from 1 species
GUCUACAGCCAUGCCACCCUGAACAAGCCCGAUCCCGUCUGAUCUCGGAAGCUAAGCAGGGUCGGGCCUGAUUAGUUCUUAGAUGGGAGACCACCUAGGAAGACCAAGUGCUGUAGGCG